rnacentral:rRNA from 1 species
GGUAGAGCACUGAAUUUCCUAGGGGGCGUCAAAGCCUACCGAAGAAUAUCAAACUCCGAAUGCCGCGUAAUCGAUUAUCGGGAGUCAGACUGCACGAGAUAAGUUGGGCGGUCAAAAGGGAAAGAGCCCAGACCUUCAGUUAAGGUCCCCAAGUGCGCGUUAAGUGGAAAAGGAUGUGGGAUUUCGAAGACAACCAGGAUGUUGGCUCAGAAGCAGCCAUCCAUUCAAAGAGUGCGUAAUAGCUCACUGGUCGAGAGGUCCUGCGCCGAAAAUGUCCGGGGCUGAAACGCGCCACCGAAACUAAGGAACCGAAAGGUUGGUAGAGGAGCAUUGCAUGCGGGAAGAAGCAGUACCGUAAGGAGCUGUGGACUGCAUGGAAGAGAGAAUGCCGGAAUGAGUAGCGAGAUAGAGGUGGGAAUCCUCUAGGCCGAAUAUCCAAGGUUUCCAGAGUAAAGCUGAUCUGCUCUGGGUAAGUCGGGGCCUAAGGCGAGGACGAGAGUCGUAGCCGAUGGACAACAGGUGGAGAUUCCUGUACUGCGGUAUGACAGAACUGUGGGGACACGUAAGGAAAGCGGAAGCCGGGAAUGGAAAGCCCGGUGCAAGCGGGGUACCAGUCACUUUGGCAAAUCCGGGUGGCAAUGGGAAGCCGUGAUGCGGAGCGAAAUAAAGUAGCGAAGUCCGUGAGCCAUGCGUCAAGAAAAGCCGCUAUUGUUUAUACCGUACCCGUACCGUAAACCGACACAGGUGGAUGAGGAGAGAAUCCUAAGGCCGGCGGAAGAAGCAUUGUCAAGGAACUCGGCAAAAUGGCCCCGUAACUUAGGGAUAAGGGGUGCCUGGGAAACCAGGCCGCAGAGAAUAGGCUCAAGCAACUGUUUAGCAAAAACACAGGUCUAUGCGAAACCGAAAGGUGAGGUAUAUGGGCUGACGCCUGCCCGGUGCUGGAAGGUUAAGAGGAGAGGUUAGCGCAAGCGAAGCUUUGAAUUUAAGCCCCAGUAAACGGCGGCCGUAACUAUAACGGUCCUAAGGUAGCGAAAUUCCUUGUCGGGUAAGUUCCGACCCGCACGAAAGGCGUAAUGAUUUGAGCGCUGUCUCGACAAUGCAUCCGGUGAAAUUGAAGUACCAGUGAAGAUGCUGGUUACCUGCGCCAGGACGGAAAGACCCCAUGGAGCUUUACUCCAGUCUGGUACUGGGACUCGGUAUUGCAUGUACAGGAUAGGUGGGAGGCUGAGAAAUGGUAACGCCAGUUGCCAUGGAGCCGCUGUUGGGAUACCACCCUUGCAGUAUUGGGUUUCUAACCAGCCGCCGUGACCCGGCGGUGGGACAAUGCCAGACGGGGAGUUUGACUGGGGCGGUCGCCUCCGAAAGGGUAUCGGAGGCGCUCAAAGGU